AUUGAACGCUGGCGGCAGGCCUAACACAUGCAAGUCGAACGAGUGGCGGACGGGUGAGUAAUGUCUGGGAAACUGCCCGAUGGAGGGGGAUAACUACUGGAAACGGUAGCUAAUACCGCAUACCAUCGGAUGUGCCCAGAUGGGAUGAGCUAGUUGGUGGGGUAACGGCUCAACUAGGCGACGAUCCCUAGCUGGUCUGUGAGGAUGACCAGCAACACUGGAACUGAGACACGGUCGUGACUCCUACGAGAGGCAGCAGUGGGGAAUAUUGCACAAGGGGCGCAAGCCUGAUGCAGCCAUGCCGCGUGUAUGAAGAAGGCCUUCGGGUUGUAAAGUACUUUCAGCGUGGAGGCGUUACCCGCAGAAGAAGCAUCGGCUAACUCCGUGCCAGCAGCCGCGGUAAGAC
rnacentral:rRNA from 1 species